rnacentral:tRNA from 1 species
GGAUGUGGCUCAAGUGGUAGUGCGCUAGCCUGGCAUGCAUGGGGUGCUGGGUUCGAUCCUCAGCACCA